rnacentral:tRNA from 1 species
GCCGCGGUGGUGGAAUGGUAUACACGACAGACUUAAAAUCUGUUGAGCGCAAGUUCGUGAGGGUUCGACUCCCUCCCGCGGCA